rnacentral:rRNA from 1 species
GAUGAACGCUGGCGGCGUGCCUAAUACAUGCAGGUCGAGCGAACAGAUGAGGAGCUUGCUCCUCUGACGUUAGCGGCGGACGGGCGAGUAACACGUGGAUAACCUACCUAUAAGACUGGGAUAACUUCGGGAAACCGGAGCUAAUACCGGAUAAUAUAUUGAACCGCAUGGUUCAAUAGUGAAAGACGGUUUUGCUGUCACUUAUAGAUGGAUCCGCGCCGCAUUAGCUAGUUGGUAAGGUAACGGCUUACCAAGGCAACGAUGCGUAGCCGACCCGAGAGGGUGAUCGGCCACACUGGAACUGAGACACGGUCCAGACUCCUACGGGAGGCAGCAGUAGGGAAUCUUCCGCAAUGGGCGAAAGCCUGACGGAGCAACGCCGCGUGAGUGAUGAAGGUCUUCGGAUCGUAAAACUCUGUUAUUAGGGAAGAACAAAUGUGUAAGUAACUAUGCACGUCUUGACGGUACCUAAUCAGAAAGCCACGGCUAACUACGUG